rnacentral:lncRNA from 1 species
GUAGCGCCUCCAUGCUCUGGACACUACGCUGACAGACACAGCAAACCUUCUUGCCACAGCUCGCAUUGAUGUGCCAUCCUGGAUGAGCUGCACUACCUGAGCCACUUGUGUGGGUUGUAGACUCCGUCUCAUGCUACCACUAGAGUGAAAGCACCGCCAGCAUUCAAAAGUGACCAAAACAUCAGCCAGGAAACAUAGGAACUGAGAAGUGGUCUGUGGUCCCCACCUGCAGAACCACUCCUUUAUUGGGGGUGUCUUGCUAAUUGCCUAUAAUUUCCACCUGUUGUCUAUUCCAUUUGCACAACAGCAUGUGAAAUUUGUCAAUCAGUGUUGCUUCCUAAGUGGACAGUUUGAUUUCACAGAAGUGUGAUUGACUUGGAGUUACAUUGUGUUGUUUAAGGUGUUCCCUUUAUGUUUUGAGCAGUGUAUAUAUAUAUAUAUAUAUAUAUAUACCCUUUGAGGACUCAAACCUCUUCUUAGACACAAAUUGUCUCUGUUUGCCCUGGCUACCCAUAAAAACGUAUGAUGUUCACUUCAAAAAGCUUUUCGAUGGCUUACAUUAACCACAUGUGUAAAAAUGUUUACUCAACUAACAACUCACUUCUAUGCAACAAGAAGGUUUAACAAAAAGAAAGGACUCUAACCUGUUAAUAGAGAACAAAGGACUUGAACCUUUAUAAAUCAAAGGUUACACCAGUCAUACAAGGAAGCUUAUGCCUCCCAUCAAAAAGAGAGCUGGCCCAAGCAAGCACAGGUUACACCUGAAGCAUGAGGACUUGCAGUGAGUGGUGAACUUCAACAACAACUACGCAGAGGAUAAUGUAAUAGUAUUACCAGGACACCACACAGGACACAAACACUGGCUGAAAGCUGCUGCUAUCCCAUGUGACAAAAGCAGCAGUGUGGCAUCUCUACAAGGAAUCGAUGACAGCACUUGCAGUGCUUCAGAAAGAUCAGAGUAAACACUUUGUCUGAGAUUGUUGGUGUUGUGAAAAGCUAUGGCUGGCAACACCUGACGCCGUACUUCAGGCCGCUGCAACAGAUCAAGCAGUACCAGCACUUCAGGUGAAUAUAAUUUUCAUUGUAUGAGGUUAUUGUUUUUAUCUAUUUCCUGUUUUACAGCUUUGAUGCGCUGGAGCCUGGUGUUGUUGGGACCAGGUUUCAGCUGCUGCGCAACGCUGACAUCCUUCCUGCCAUGGAUGGUCUGCAUGUACAAUCACCACCUGGACUGGACACAGCUAGACAAACUAUAUUUUUGAGAAGAUCAGGGAGUUUUGCGACGAAGAGGCUAUGGACAUCACAUGUCCUGCACCAAAGUCAAGGGCAGGACAGAAACAGGCUCUCCGAAGAUAGAUUCCCUUGUUCAUGCGUAGUUCGGACAGACCAGCCAUCAGCAAUAUCUGCAGUGCCUCUAUUCAAAUGACUCUCUCCUAACACACACGCCAUACGUUGCUGCUACCAUUUUUUUUUUUUAUCCUGCUGCUCAGCCACUUUACCCCUGAUUGUAUGCAUAUAACUACCUCAGCUAUCAUUAUUGAUAUUGUUCUUGUACAUACUGUAUAUUAUUUUAUUUAUAGUGACACUAUCUAUGUCUGAUAUUGCUACUAUGCAAGUAACCAUUUGGCUGUACCGUUUACACCUUCUGUAGAGACCCUUCCACUUAGCAAGACUUAGAAAAUAUUGAUAUACAUAAAAUUAAUAUUGAUAUGUAACAUGAUUUUGUGACAUACCAGAAAAAUAUAAUCUGACCGUAUCAAGUGUCCACCAUAUAUAUAUAUGGAGCAUGCAGCUGUUUAUGUACUGUACAUGUGCAUCUCACUCAGGUUUCAACUCAGUUUGCAUGGCCUUAAUUUAUGUAUGGAAUACUAUGUGAUAAGUGUGUGUGUAACAGUAUAUGAAGUAUGCUAAUGUACUGUGGUGUAAAGUACUUCAGUAAAAAUACUUAUUUUUUUGUUGUAUCUGUACGUUACUUUACUAUUUACAUUUUUGGCAACUUUUACUUCACUAUAUUCCUAAAGAAAAUAAUGUACUUUUUACUCCAUACAUUUUCCCUGGCACUCAAAAGUACUCAUUACUCAAGUAGUAUUUUACUGGGUAACAUACCUUAAUAGAAAAUUACUCAAGUAAAAGUAUCUUUACUUUUACUGAAGUAUGACAAUGUAGUACAUUUUUCACCACUGGAUGUGGCUAGGGGUUAUAGCAUUUCUUUCACAUGACCCAUCAAUUUAG